rnacentral:tRNA from 1 species
GCCUGGGUAGCUCAGUGGUUGAGCGUCUGCCUUUGGCUCAGGUCAUGAUCACAGGGUCCUGGGAUCGAGUCCCACAUCAGGCU